rnacentral:rRNA from 1 species
UACGUAGGGUGCAAGCGUUAAUCGGAAUUACUGGGCGUAAAGCGUGCGCAGGCGGUAAUGUAAGACAGGUGUGAAAUCCCCGGGCUUAACCUGGGAACUGCAUUUGUGACUGCAUUGCUGGAGUGCGGCAGAGGGGAUGGAAUUCCGCGUGUAGCAGUGAAAUGCGUAGAUAUGCGGAGGAACACCGAUGGCGAAGGCAGCCCCUGGGUCAAGAUUGACGCUCAUGCACGAAAGCGUGGGAGCAACAGG